rnacentral:lncRNA from 1 species
UAUGGAUAAUCCAGCCCCAGCCCCAGCCCCAGCCCCAUUUUACAGAUGAGGAAACUGGGACUUACUGAAGUCAUGUAUUUAAUGAAGGGUUAAACUAGGAUUUGAACUGAAUCUCUUGAUCUUAAGGCUGAUGGUCUCAUUUGUUCCAUCAUGCAGCUGCCUCAGGCCUGUGCUGUAUCCCUUUAUGCCACACAAGAGAGAUAGCUCCCUCCACUUCAGUCUAUAAUACAAACGAAGAUCAGCCAUUUGUUGCAUCCGAGGUAAACUGGCCUGGAUUUGUGGUCUGAGUUCACCAUAUUUCCACAGUAUGACAUUGAAGAAGAAAGGAAUUUUACUUGUCACUUGAUAGUUAUUGUCUCAUGACACUAAGCUAUGACUUGGAGACAAAGGCCAAGUCAAGCCCCACUGUGAGAUUCAAUGAUUCCUUGGUGGAGAAAGAAGCAUUUGAUGUGGAGCCUGACACACCUGAAAGUGAGCUCCAUAGGGCAAGGAUUUUUGUCUACUUUGCUCACCACUGUAUCCCAAGGGCCUAUCUCAUAAAGGGAGGGGAAGAAAUAUCUAGCACAGCUGCUUCCGAAUUCCCUGGCUGGUCUGAGAACUGUGUGAAGCUGUGAUGGAACCCCCUGGAGAUGUUCUGCAGCUCCAGGCCUCACUUCACAGACUCACUGCAGGAAUGGAUGAACUAAUAAAUGAUUAAGAAUGGAGGCUACAGCUGUACACAGGUGUCCACUUUCUCUGUGCCCUGGCUGAAGUGGCUUUCACCUCCAGUUGCAGUGGGAUUUAUCUUGAUUGGUCCAGGCUAGCCAUGAUAAAUCUACUUCCAAGCAAGUGAUUUGUUUAGGGCUGCCUAUUUAAUCUAGUUCUAGACAAUGGAAUAUGAAAGAAAAUCUGUUGAGGAAUUCUGGAUAUUCUGUGUGAAGAUGUAAUACCUGCAAACGUGGUCUUGAGGAUUGCUUGCCCACAUGCCAAGGAUGGCAGAGCAGAAAGAAAAACAUGGGUCCUUGAUGGUAUAAUUUAGCCACAAAUUAAUCAACCUUGGAGCCUCCCCCUACCUCAGGACUUUAUGUUAUGUUUACACAUCCUUUAGCUAAGUUUUCUGUUACUUACAGCACUAAAUACCCUGUCUGAUCCCAUCUCCUUAUCUUUUUAUAAAUCUUGUUUAUGUUUGCCAGCCCACAGCAGU